rnacentral:miRNA from 1 species
UAUACAUACAUACAUAUAUAU